rnacentral:rRNA from 2 species
GUAAACGGCGGCCGUAACUAUAACGGUCCUAAGGUAGCGAAAUUCCUUGUCGGGUAAGUUCCGACCUGCACGAAUGGCGUAAUGAUGGCCAGGCUGUCUCCACCCGAGACUCAGUGAAAUUGAACUCGCUGUGAAGAUGCAGUGUACCCGCGGCAAGACGGAAAGACCCCGUGAACCUUUACUAUAGCUUGACACUGAACAUUGAGCCUUGAUGUGUAGGAUAGGUGGGAGGCUUUGAAGUGUGGACGCCAGUCUGCAUGGAGCCGACCUUGAAAUACCACCCUUUAAUGUUUGAUGUUCUAACGUUGGCCCCUAAUCGGGGUUGCGGACAGUGUCUGGUGGGUAGUUUGACUGGGGCGGUCUCCUCCUAAAGAGUAACGGAGGAGCACGAAGGUUGGCUAAUCCUGGUCGGACAUCAGGAGGUUAGUGCAAUGGCAUAAGCCAGCUUGACUGCGAGCGUGACGGCGCGAGCAGGUGCGAAAGCAGGUCAUAGUGAUCCGGUGGUUCUGAAUGGAAGGGCCAUCGCUCAACGGAUAAAAGGUACUCCGGGGAUAACAGGCUGAUACCGCCCAAGAGUUCAUAUCGACGGCGGUGUUUGGCACCUCGAUGUCGGCUCAUCACAUCCUGGGGCUGAAGUAGGUCCCAAGGGUAUGGCUGUUCGCCAUUUAAAGUGGUACGCGAGCUGGGUUUAGAACGUCGUGAGACAGUUCGGUCCCUAUCUGCCGUGGGCGCUGGAGAACUGAGGGGGGCUGCUCCUAGUACGAGAGGACCGGAGUGGACGCAUCACUGGUGUUCGGGUUGUCAUGCCAAUGGCACUGCCCGGUAGCUAAAUGCGGAAGAGAUAAGUGCUGAAAGCAUCUAAGCACGAAACUUGCCCCGAGAUGAGUUCUCCCUGACUCCCUGAGAGUCCUGAAGGAACGUUGAAGACGACGACGUUGAUAGGCCGGGUGUGUAAGCGCAGCGAUGCGUUGAGCUAACCGGUACUAAUGAACCGUGAGGCUUAACCUUACAACGCCGAAG